GAGCAGAGGCGUUGGAAGUGGAAGAAGAGGAGUCAUCAGUGGAGGCGGCAGAAGAUUUGGCAAUGGGAGUUCUCUUGGUGGUGGACCUGAAGGCCGAAGUGGCCAUUUGGAAAAUGGAAGGAGUAGGUGGAGAAAAGAAACAGCUAAAACAUGCAAGGAAGGAAGGCUAAAUUAGGGAUUACAGAAUCAGCAUUUUGUGGAGCAUUAAAUGCAAAUUGAUGGAAAUAGAUACGGCGGU
rnacentral:misc_RNA from 1 species